rnacentral:lncRNA from 1 species
UGCAUCAUGGGUUCCUUCUAAUGGUAGCGCGGAUAUUCAAGUUGGAUUGUAUAUCCAGUUGAAAUUUCUAUUAUCUUCAAUUGGGUUUACAUCUUUGUUUUAUCAAAUCUUUUGGGACAUUAUUCAGAUGUACAUUGUUAGUGCUGUGCUUGAAUUUUGCUUAAGGUACUAUGCUUCCGUAGGGCUUCACUGCGACUACUGUUUUUCUCAUACUGACAUAGGAACGGGAUAAUUGGGUUGAUAAAAUUCGGAGGAGUAUCUCUGGUAAAUGGUUUUCUGUUCUAAUCAAUGGAUGUCAGCUUUUUUACAACUUAUGUAGAGGGCUUCCUCAGAGUGAUCUUAUCUCGCAAUCUCUUUUCAUAGUGUGUGCUGAAUUCUAUCUCGACUCUGAACUUUGGUGGAAAUGCAUUCCUACAUUCGCUUUUAAGCAUGGAGGCCAACUUCCCAUCUCCCACCUCGCAUUUGCAGAUGAUAGCAUUUUCUCCAAUGAACAUAAAAGAGACAUUGAAAGUUUUACGCUGUUUAUUUCCUUCUAUAAGGAGCGUUGGAGUCAGGUGGUAAAAAAGAAAAAGAAGGGUUUUGUAGUGGCAAGAACGGCCUUAUCUGCUAUGAUUCAAAUAUGGAAAGGCUUACGAGAUGAAUUUGGAUUGGAGGUUUGGUAAUUGGAGACGGUUUCUUUCGGCAUGAUUGCUAGAUGGUAACUGCAUCUUUUCCAGACCUGAGGACUGGCUUGCUAAUGAGUGGGAAAGUAUACUAAUGAGUGGGAAAGUAUACUAGUAUACAAUGAAUACCGUAUGGAGUUUCCAUGAGUGAACUAAAGAUUCUUGAAUCUCAAA